CGCCGCGUGAGGGACGAAGGCCUUCGGGUUGUAAACCUCUUUUAGCAGGGAAGAAGCGAAAGUGACGGUACCUGCAGAAAAAGCACCGGCUAACUACGUGCCAGCAGCCGCGGUAAUACGUAGGGUGCAAGCGUUGUCCGGAAUUAUUGGGCGUAAAGAGCUCGUAGGCGGUUUGUCACGUCUGCUGUGAAAUUUCGAGGCUCAACCUCGAACUUGCAGUGGGUACGGGCAGGCUAGAGUGCGGUAGGGGAGAUGGGAAUUCCUGGUGUAGCGGUGGAAUGCGCAGAUAUCAGGAGGAACACCAAUGGCGAAGGCACAUCUCUGGGCCGUAACUGACGCUGAGGAGCGAAAGCAUGGGGAGCAAACAGGAUUAGAUACCCUGGUAGUCCAUGCCGUAAACGGUGGGUGCUAGCUGUGGGCCACAUUCCACGUGGUCCGUGACGAAGUUAACACAUUAAGCACCCCGCCUGGGGAGUACGGCCGCAAGGCU
rnacentral:rRNA from 1 species